rnacentral:lncRNA from 1 species
CACAAGCAAACCCAAUAUACUUCAUUUUGAGGUACGGAUUAAUCUUUCCCUAAGUUUUGGCACAUCCAAAACUUGUUCCUACAAAUACGAAAGAGAUACAAUAAGAAAAUAAUUAAAACUUCUUGCUGAGUAUAAUAUAAAUAAUAAGAGCACUUUAUAAAUGAAUGAAGAAGCCUUCGAAUGCACCCCUCAGCUGAAAAGAGUAGUGAUGGAGG